rnacentral:rRNA from 1 species
CGCCCUUGAGUUUGAUCAUGGCUCAGGACGAACGCUGGCGGCGUGCCUAACACAUGCAAGUCGAGCGAUGAAGCCCUUCGGGGCUGAUUAGCGGCGGACGGGUGAGUAACACGUGGGUAACCUGCCUCAUAGAGGGGGAUAGCCUCCCGAAAGGGAGAUUAAUACCGCAUAACAUAUUUUGGUUGCAUGACCGAAAUAUCAAAGGAGUAAUCCGCUAUGAGAUGGACCCGCGGCGCAUUAGCUAGUUGGUGAGGUAAGGGCUCACCAAGGCGACGAUGCGUAGCCGACCUGAGAGGGUGAUCGGCCACAUUGGAACUGAGACACGGUCCAGACUCCUACGGGAGGCAGCAGUGGGGAAUAUUGCGCAAUGGAGGAAACUCUGACGCAGCGACUUUUUGUGAAUGAUGAAGGCCUUAGGGUUGUAAAGUUCUGUCUUCUGGGACGAUAAUGACGGUACCAGAGGAGGAAGCCACGGCUAACUACGUGCCAGCA